GUGGGGAAUCUUAGACAAUGGGGAAAACCCUGAUCUAGCCAUGCCGCGUGAGCGAUGAAGGCCUUAGGGUUGUAAAGCUCUUUCAGCUGGGAAGAUAAUGACGGUACCAGCAGAAGAAGCCCCGGCUAACUCCGUGCCAGCAGCCGCGGUAAUACGGAGGGGGCUAGCGUUGUUCGGAAUUACUGGGCGUAAAGCGCGCGUAGGCGGACCAGAAAGUUGGAGGUGAAAUCCCAGGGCUCAACCUUGGAACUGCCUUCAAAACUCCUGGUCUGGAGUUCGAGAGAGGUGAGUGGAAUUCCGAGUGUAGAGGUGAAAUUCGUAGAUAUUCGGAGGAACACCAGUGGCGAAGGCGGCUCACUGGCUCGAUACUGACGCUGAGGUGCGAAAGCGUGGGGAGCAAACAGGAUUAGAAACCCGAGUAGUCC
rnacentral:rRNA from 1 species